rnacentral:rRNA from 1 species
GAUGAACGCUGACAGCAUGCUUAACACAUGCAAGUCAACUGUGGCGGACGGGUGAGUAACGCGUAAAGAACUUGCCUCACAGAUAGGGACAACAUUUGGAACCGAAUGCUAAUACAUGAUACUGCGGGAGAGGUUUGCGUCCCAUUAGCUAGUUGGAGAGGUAACGGCUCACCAAGGCGAGGAUGGGUAGCCGGCCUGGGAGGGAGAUCGGCCACAAGGGGACUGGGAAAGGGCCCUUACGCCAUCGGGGGGAAGGGGUGGAGAAUAGUGGAAAAAGGACCAAAGUGUGAUCAAGGAAUUCUGAGUGUAAGAUGAAGUUUUCGGAAUGUAAAGUGAUUUCAGUUGGUGAGCAGUACCAACAGAAGAAGUGACGGCUAAAUACGUGCCAGCAGCCGCGGUAAUAC